GCUUACUCUUUUGUACCUUUGGAAUUUUGUAAAUGUGCAUUCCUCAUUUGAAUAAAUAGACAUCUUUUUUUUUUUUUUUUUUUUUUUUUUUUGAGACAGAGUUUCCCUUUUGUUGCCCAGGCUGGAGUACAGUGGUGUGAUCUCAGCUCACUGCAACCUCAGCCUUCUGGGUUCAAGCGAUUCUCCUGCCACAGCCUCCUGAGUACCUGGGAUUACAGGUGCCUGCCACCAUGCCUGGCUAAUUUUUGCAUUUUUAGUAGAGACAGGGUUUCCCCAUGUUGGCCAGGCUGGUCUUGAACUCCUGACCUCAGGUGAUCCACCCCCUUGGCCUCCCAAAGUGCUGGGAUUACAGGCAUGAGCCACUGCACCCAGCCAGUAUUUUAUAUUUUUUUGAGACAGGGUCUUGCUCUGUCACCCAGGCUGAAGUGCAGUGGUGCAAUCACAGCUCACUGCAACCUCCCCCUCCCGGGUUCAAGCGAUUCUCCUGCCUCAGACUCCCAAGUAGCUGGGAUUACAGGUGUGUGCCACCAUGCCCAGCUGAUUUUUGUAUUUUUAGUAGAGAUGGCGUUUCACCAUGUUAGCCAGGCUGGUCUCAAUUUCCUGACCUCAGGUGAUCUACCUGCUGCCUUCCAAAGUGCUGGGAUUAUAGGUAUGAGCCACUGGCUUCGGCUAGGAAAUACUAUUGGAACCCUGCUACUGAAAGUGUGGCCCAUGGACCAGGAGCUUGGGCAUUAUCGGGAGCUUGUUAGAAAUUCAGAACCUUGGGCCCUAUAGCCCAGACUCCACCUUUUUUUUUUUUUUUAAGAAGGAGUCCUACCCUGUAGUGCAGGCUUGAGUGCAGUGGCAUGAUCUCGGCUCACUGCAACCUCUGCCUCUUGGGUUCAAGUGAUUCUCCUGUCUCAGCCUCCCAAGUAGCUGGGACUACAGGCAUGAGCCACCGCGCCUGGCUAAUUUUUGUAUUUGUAGUAGAGACAAGGUCUCAUGUUGGCCAGCUUGGUCUCGAACUCCUGACCUCAAGUGACUUGCCUGCCUCAGCCUCCCAAAGUGCUGGGAUUACAGGUGUGAGCCAUGGUGCCCAGCCCAGAUGCCACAAUUUAAAAGGCUUACUUUCCUGGGUCAAGCUGCCUUUUUUGGGGGUCAUUAGGGAAGGAAUGGAUGUGUGCUCUACGGGUUCUUAUAAUAGCAAUGAACCUUCAUAAUCAGACUCAUUCCUUAAUUUUGCUUACUUUUUCAUGCAGCUGCAUUAAUACUACAUUGUCAAAGACAAAGACGAACAUGAGACAUGAGAUAUGAGUUUUAAAAGGAGAGAAGAGCAAAAAAACAAUACAGCUAUCCAAGGAGCAAGUGCUGAGCUUGUGAAAAAACAGCUUCUAUUUUAUUAAAUAAUAGUGUUCCUGCAGGGAUGUCUGAAGUACUCUGCAAGGCUAAUUAGGACAGAUCAAUGUACACUUAACCUCUCCAGAAGGCUGAAAGAUACAGACUGAAAUGUUACCAGAUAAAAUGAUGUCAUGUCUGGGAUUCACUUCAAAAUAAUUUGAGGUGGAAGUGGAAAGUGGAAACAACAAUUAUGAAACAACCUGGCCCAUGAGAUGAUAGCUGUCGAAGGUAGGUAUGGUUAUACAAAAUUUCAUUACACUUUUCCCUCUACUUUUCUAAUAUAUUCUGAAUUUUCAUAACAAAAAGUUAAAUACACUUAAAAGUAGACAAAUACAUACUAAUUUGAGGUGGUGGUUAAGGACUCAGAAGUUACAGUCCAUGUGUCUGAAUGAAAGUACUUUCUCAAACAUGCAGAUAUCAGAGAUUUGUAGGAUUCCUUCAAUGGAGACCCAUGUUUUCUCCACACAGAACACUGGUUUCUGAGCAAAAGUAGGCCCUCUUUCUGAAAACAGAUCUGACAAUAUGAAAUGGUUGGCUACUUAACUGAAGAUACCAAAAGGAAAAAAAAAAAGGACACCAAAAAACUGGGUCUACAAAUGUGGUUGUUGGUUCUCCUUGUUUUUUUUUUCAAAUAAGGCUCGGUUUAGGAGCAGUCUAAUAGAGCAUGUGACUGCUAUACUUCCAACAGUAUCUUUGCAAAUAAAUACAACCCAUACAAUUCAAUUGUCCAUCCCACUUUUCCUGUUUGUUUAUUGCUCUUCAACAGCAGUUUCACCUCAUGCUUUUUAAUUUUUUCAUCCUGAGGCAAGGAAGAAGGAUCUUUAGAGUUGUUAAAAAAGUUUCCUGAAGUCAAGUAAUUCAUUAGAAAGUAUGUUUUAUCCAGAAUCCUAUUGUUUCACUGCAGAAGGAACACUCAGUAGCUUGUCCAAGGUUAUGCCAAAGGAAGUCUCCUCUCUCUCGCUUAUCUGAAUCCUAUCCUUCCAAAAGAACAUGCCCAGGUCCAAUAAACAGAGUUCCUAAAAGGACGGAUGUCUCCCAUUUAAAAAAAUAUUUCCCAGAGUCUCUAGGUUCAAUGUCCUACAAAUAAUCAGCAUUCAAGAUAUGAAUUUACUAACUUUUAAAAUCUAUACAAAUUUAAAAUUUUCAAUAUUAUUUUAUACGCAAUUAUCCUAUCUAUGAUAUUACUGUCUAGCAUUAUUAUAAAAGUAUCAUCACAAAUCCUAAUGAUCAUUUCCACUAAACGCCUGAAAAGGUCAUGGGAGAUUUAAAUUCUGAUGUGUGCUUUGGAAGUAGAAUCAGCUUUUGGAGAAACAAGGCUAGGGAGCACUUUUUGAGGCCGAUUACAUUUUUGGAAUUAUUUGCCAAGUUGUAUUGCCAAGUUGCAUUGCAGAACUUGUAAGAAAACUUUUUCCUUUUUUUAUUUUUAUUUUAUUUAUUUAUUUAUUUAUUUUUUGAGAUGGAGUUUCACUCUUGUUGCCCAGGCUGGAGUGCAAUGAUGUGGUCUCAGCUCACUGGAACCUCCACCUCCCGGGUUCAAGUGAUUCUCUUGCCUCAGCCUCCCAAGUAGCUAGGAUUACAGGCGCCUGCCACCACGCCCGGCUAAUUUUGUAUUUUUAGUAGAGACAGGGUUUCACCAUGUUGGUCAGGCUGGUCUUGAAUCCUGACCUCAGAUGAUCCACUCACCUUGGCCUCCCAAAGUUCUGGGAUUACAGUCAUGAGCCACAACACCCAGCCAAUUAUAACUAAACUUUUAAAAAUAUUUGUCCCCAUAGUUAGAAUUUUCAUUAGUGUAUUUAUCUUUUUCAUGUAGUCUUGUUUACAAAGGCCAUUUUAAAAGUUGCUGUCCCAGGCUUAUAAAGUAAUUUUAUAAUGUCUUCCUAUCGACCAUAUGAAAAGCAUUCAUCUCUGAGAAAGUAUCAUAAAGAAAUUCUACUGUAAUAUAAUUCAAAUAUUAAAGUAAACAUAAAAAAUUAUAUUGUAUGACAGAAUACCAAAAGAAAUAGAAAAUCUCUGCAAGAGGGUAUUUAAUUUCUGAUGAAAACAAAAUAGUACUCUUUACAGUUUGGCCUAUCACAUGACAGUAUUUCUCAAAAUCCUGCUAAAUUAAUGUUGGAGCACACUUCUUCAGGCAUUAAUGAUUUCAGUAAUGGUCAAUGGUAGUUGAUACAGAUAAGAAAUAACUGAUAGUGAUAUCAAAUCUAUACAUAUUUGACUCUCCCCACAUUUCUAAGUGAUCUAGACCAGAGCUAGGUUGUUUAUAUGGUAGCCACUAGUUACAUGUGGGCUAUUUAUAUUUAAAUUAAUUAAAUGUAAAUAAAAUUCAAAAUUAAGUUUCUCUGUUGCACUAGCCAUGUUUCAAGUACUCAAUAGCCACAUAUGGCUAGUGAGUACCAUAUUGGAUGGUGCAGCUAUGGAACAUGUCCAUUAUCACAGAAAGUUCUACUAAACAAGGUUGGUCUACAUUAGAGAGGUGACUACUGAUGAAUGGAAAAUCUCAAAUAUAUACAUAAAUGUGUGUGUGUGUGUAUAUAUAUAUACAUAUACACAUUUAUUUCUAUAGCAAUUUUCCUUUUGUUAUAGGAGGUUUCAUUAAAUAUGUCAAAUUUAAAUUUUUUUUCUGGAAAAAUUUAUAUUUUAAUGUAAACAGUUAAAAUUGUGCCAUGAGCAUUGUACUAUAGAUUUUCAUUUCCCUUGUAUUACAAGGAGAAUGAAUUCAAAAGAUUCCAUUUUCUCAAAAUAGUGAAUUAUAACAUUACCUGGUCUUCCCCUUCAAUUAGCAUUUUCUUUCUUUAUAAACAUCUAUUCUAAGCCCUCUCUGCUUCCAAUUUUACUCAGCCAAAGCCCACUUUUAUUAUGCAGCAAGGAAAUCCCACUUCUGGCCUCAAACUCCACUUUCAGUGGAGUUUGGUAGCACUUCCGGUCUCAAACUCCACACUUGUGAAGUUUGUGAGUUACAUAAAAAAUUAAAUUCCUAGCCAGGUCUUCCUAUUGGGUGAGGAGGCCCUUCCAAAGUUCCAGCGAAUUCCUUAGUCUGACAACUUUUCUCAAUUCAGAAAGAUGUGUUUGGUAACAUAUAUUAAAAGGCAGAAAUAUGCAAAUGCAUAAACAAUAGAAUUUGACAUAAUUAUGUGAUAAAGUGAAAUGCUCCUGCAGUUAGUUAUUGAACAUGAAGGACCUCUCUAAUUCUUCAGAGAAACUGUGAGAUAAUCUCUACCAUUUAUGCUUAGCAAGGAGCCAUGCUGCAGAGGAAAAGUAGAAAUACACACGAGUGACAAAAGCAAAAAAAAAUAUAUAUGAAAAACUCUGAAACCACCCUCAAUGAAAAGUAAUAUGUCUGUAUUUAAAGAGUAGGUAAAUCAUAUAGUGAAUUUAGAAGGUAAAAAAUGAGGUCUAUAAUUACAUGAGUAUAUAGAAAAUGUUAAGUGUUUUCGUGAAAAGCUAUAUAAACAAUAAUGAAUAAUCAUUUCACAUUGAAAAUAAUUUAAUUUUAAAAGGAGAUAGUACAAAUAACAAAAAAAAAAAGUCGAAGUAUGGAAAUAGUAGAAAUUUCAAAUAUUUUAGGAAUGUCUUUCUCCAGAGUAGCAUGUUGUUUAGAAACUAAAUUUCCACAGUAGAUUUCAUAGCUCCUGAACAUGAAUUAAAACUUUGAUAUUAGCUGCAGAAAUGUACAUUAGUUUGUGGGGAGGGGAUAAAGAAAAUAAUGUGCCAACCUCCCAACAAUUUCCCCAAACAGAUUUUUGCAUCUUGGUCAUUACACUUACUUUCAAGAUUCUUUUCUUGGUUUAAACAUGUAAUCUUGUCUCUUUGCUCACCUGCUCACUCUUCAAGCAAGCCUACGGCCAAAUAAAUUGCCAUACAUGUUUACCAAUAAACCAUUAUUUUCCAAGGAAUUUUUCUUAAUUUUUAAAAUUUAACAAGUUUAACUACAAUUAAUAAAGUACUCCCGGCACAAGGACUCUGAAACAUUGUUUGGGUCUUGGAAAAGUUUGAAACUUCCAAUUCAUUAGGACUUUGAGUAACUAUUUUGUACCUAAGAAUGAGAAUUGAUGGAGAGAGUGGUACUAAGCACAUAAUUUUAUGAAAUAUGAUGAAAACAUGAGAGUUUUGUUAUGACGCACAUAACAAUAAAGAACCUGUUUCUUUUUAGCAGGCUCCUAAAAAGUACCUCCCUUAUAAUUAUUAAAUAAAAACACUCACUUAUUCAGUACUCAGCUAGCUUUUAAGAUCUGAAUAACAGAAGUACACAGUGAGAGAGGUACUUACAUGGUUUCCUUGGAUACUGGAUGAUGCCAUUCAGGUCUAUGUUUUUAUCUGAAAGUGGUGCCCUGUGGAGAAACGAGGCUUGGUGAGUGGCUGUUUAUACAUAGUAAGUAAAUAGGAACUUUGUUUAUUUUACAAAGCAUUUUUUAUUUUGACCCAGCUUUCCUUUUCUCAUCACACCCAACUCCUGUAAACAGCAAUAAUAUGGUAGAACAGGUACUCUGUACAACUCUUUUUAACUCCACUUAAGAAAUCAUAAUUAUUAAGGCAGAAGCUCAGAAUGCUUUGGCUAAGGAUGUUACUCCUUGGGCUGCUUUAUAUAUCUUGACUAUUUUAUUUAUGUCAGACAUAUUAAUGAAUAUUGCCUGCCUCUCUAUUUUCCUCAAAAGGAAUAUUGCUCAAACCACUAAUAAAGAAAUUAGUCUAAAACAUUCACAUAAAUGAUAAAUGUCCUUACCUUAACCAAAAGAUAAGAGAACUCAAGCUUUAGCCAGUUUCUAAACAUGAAGGGUUUCCAUAGACCUUAGCUGCCAUUUUACAUGUUCCAGUGGCAUCCUAGAUUCCCAAUAGUUUUAGUGCUAUGAGCAUACAAUUUUGACAUUCAGUCCCUCAGAACUACACACAUUCUAAUUUUGGUAGUAUGAAUAAUCUCUCCUAUGUGAUAAGUUAUUUAACCUUCUAAUAUUUCUUAGAAUCGAAAAGAACAAAUGAGCUGCAGCAAAGAAUGGCAAAUAACUUUUAUGCUUAACACAAUUUAAUAACCUGAAAUGAAGUAAGUAUGUGCUAUGUUUCCAUUAAAAAGUUUCCAGCCACAAUUAAUUGAACGAAAACUUGUCUUGUUCCAAGAUUAUUCUUGGAAAUGUAAUUUUAAAAUCUGCUUGAAAUGACGAAACUUACUUUUUUAUACCAUAUGAAAGCAAUUUCAUUUUUUAGGAAUGAUUUUUGGAUAGACUUCCGAUUGGAUAUUUUCCAUCGGAACUAGCAGCAUAGGGGGUCGGGAGAGGGGAGGGGAGGGAAGCAAUUCUGUGUUCUUUUGCCAGCACUGACAAAGGUCUGGUUGUCAGUGAUACCUUUACAGCUAAAUUUACUCCAGAGUGACAGAAACAGGUGCACCUCGGCCUGCCAGACACUUGUGCAGAGAGAUCACGCAUCUCACGGCUUGACGAUCAAGGGGGCAAAGCCUCGGUCUUCAUAGAAAAGGAGAGGAGGCAAACGCAGCCCAAACUGGGGGUUUCUCUUCAAAGCCAGCUGGUCUGGCUUUAUUCUACAGGAAUUUUUUUUACCUGUCAGGGUUUGGACAACAAAGCCCUCAGCAGGUGCUGACGGGUACAACUUCCUGGAGAAGCAGAAAGGCACUGAGAAAACAUCUUGCUCUGUUGCUCAGGCUGGAGCGCAAUGGUGCCAUCGUAGCUUACUGUAACCUUGAACGUCUGUGCUCAAGCAAUCUUCCUGCCUCAGCCUCCUGAGUAGCUGGGACUACAGAGACAGGGUCUUGUUCUAUUGUCCAAGCUGGUCUUGAAUUCCUGACCUCAAGCAAUCCUCCUGCCUCUGCCUCCCAAAGCACUGGGAUUAUUACAGGUAUGAGCCACCGUGCUGGGCCAUCAUGCUUACUCUUCGGAGGGAGAAGUGAAGUAUCUGAACGCCUCAGCCUGAGAAUGGGUCAUUUGCAAAGUAAAUAAAGGCAAAGCCAAAUGUCAGCACAACAAGCAAUUGAACAGAAUGACUGCAAACUGCUAAUGAAGGAGAAGGCAAGGUGCGGUUAGGAUGAACUGUAGAAGGACCCAUCCCCUAGAGCUCAUUGAGCAUCCACCCUGCUGUCCGGCCGUCCUCUCCAUAGAAAAACUACUGCUCUUUGUUAUUUUUCCAAAGCGUGCAUCUUGACGAGCACAUUGAGCCCAGGUGGCAUCUUUGCGGCUGCUCUGGCCAUGUACGCAGCUGUAUUUUUAGAGCACUCGGGGGGCUCGAUGGUCUUUGCCGACUUGAGGAAAUAGGUCACUGUAUUGCAGCAGAUCCUUGGUCAUGGGGCUGGGUUGGUCAUUGCCACUAUUUUAUGGGAUGGGGAAUUUGGAAGAUUAUGAAGUGUCAGCUGGUUGCCCUUGGACAUGCAGUGAGAGGGAGGAUUCUGUUUUGCUGGAAUUUAUAGUUUUUCUUUCUUUCUUUCUUUUUUUUUUUUUUUUGAGACAGAGUCUCGCUCUGUCGCCCAGGCUGGAGUGUGCAGUGGCUCGAUCUCGGCUCACUGCAAGCUCCGCUUCCCGGGUUCACGCCUUUCUCCUGUCUCAGCCUCCCCAGUAGCUGGGACUACAGGCGCCCGCCACGACGCCUGGCUAAUUUUUUUGUAUUUUUAGUAGAGACGGGGUUUCAUCGUGUUAGCCAGGAUGGUCUCGAUCUCCUGACCUCGCAAUCCGCCCGCCUCGGCCUCCCAAAGUGCUGGGAUUACAUAAGAGACCAUGAGGCAGGGGCGCAGUGGCUCAUACCUGUAAUCCCAGCGCUUUCGGAGGCUGAGUAGGAAGGAUCACUUGAUGCCAGGAGUUCGAGACCAGCCUGGGUAACAUAGUGAGACCCUCAUUUCUACAAAAUAUAAAAAUAUUAGCCAGGCAUGGUGGUGCAUGCCUAUAAUUUCAGCACUUUGGGAGGCUGAGGCAGGAGGAUCGCUUGACCCCAGGAGUUGGAGGAUGCAGUGAGCUAUGAUUGCUUCACUGUACCACAGUCUGGGUGACAGAGAAUGACUAUAUCAAAAAAAAAAAAAAAAAGAUCUGGUGGUACAGUUGCCCACCCCACCUCAUAUCACUGGAGUUUCUUGCUUGGCCCCACAUUCUCUCCAUAGUCUGACCAGAGAAGAGCCUUUGGGGUAUUUUUUUUUUUUUUUAAGAUGGAGUCUCACUCUGUCACCCAGGAUGGAGUGGAGUGGGAUCUUGGCUCACUGCAACCUCUGCCUCCUGGGUUCAAGUGAUCCUCCCACCUCAGCCUCCUGAGUAGCUGGGACUAUAGGUGUGUGCCACAACACCUGGCUAAUUUUUGUAUUUCACUAUGUUGGCCAGGCUGGUCUUGAACUCCUGACCACAGGUGAUCCUCCUGCUUCGGCCUCCCAAAAUGCUGGAAUCACAGGCAUAAGCCACCGUGCCUGGCCUGGGGUGUCUUUAUCCUAGACUUUCCCACUUUCUUGUAUCCUUGUUUCCUAUCCACGUGGGUCUCCUUGGCUCUGGCGUCUCCUUAGUCCUGCCACUUCUAAUACCUGAUGUGUUCCUCCCUGGAGGUAGCAUGACUUAGCAGAAAGAGCACAGCCUUUAGAGCGAGGCACACUAGGUUUGAAACCUAGCUCCCCAUUUACCGGCUGUGUGACCCUGGGAAAGUCACUUAACCUCUCUGAGCUUCCAGUCCUCAUUUGUAAAAUUGGGAACAAGAGUACAUAGGGGCUGGGCGCGGUGGCUCACGCCUGUAAUCCUAGCACUUUGGGAGGCUGAGGUGGGCAGAUCACCUGAGGUCAGGAGUUUGUGACCAGCCUGGCCAACAUGACAAAACUCCUCUUUAGUAAAAAUACAAUAAUUAGCUGGGUGUGGUGGCAGGAGCCUGUAAUCCCAGCUACUUGGGGGACUGAGGCAGGAGAAUUGCCUGAAUGUGGGAGGCAGAAGUUGCAGUGAGCCGAGAUCACAGCACGACACUCCAGCCUGGGCGACAGAGUGAGACUCUGUCUCAAAAAAAAAAAAAAAAGGGGGUGCAUUGGGAUUGUUGUGAGGAUUCAAUGGGACAGUAUAUGCAAACCACCUAAUACAAGGCACAUAGUAGGAGCUUAUUAUGGUGAUGGGGUGGCAUUGGCCACAGGGCCUUGGGCUCAGCCUGUCCCUCUGUCCCUCUGAUCUGGAUGGGUGGGUAUCCAGGGAAGUACCCCUACUUGAUAGGCCUCAAGCCCUCCCUCCUUGUGUCCAGAUCCUUUGAGCACCUACCUCCACGUCCCGCCCCUCUGCCCUCUCUCCCUGGCAUGAUCCUGGCCUUCCAGUCACAUCCCAAAACCACUUUGCCUGGUUUCCUUUGGGAAGCAAAGCCUGUCUGGGGCCCUCCAUAGACAGAGAAGCUGUGAAGGAGAUAAAUGCUGAAGAAGGGGUGAGGAGACAGACUCAGGGGCCAAUCAAAGUCAGGAAACAGGCUGGGUGUGGUGGCUCAUGCCUGUAAUCCCAGCACUUUGGGAGGCUGAGCCGCGGAUGACCUGAGUUCAGGAGUUCGAGACCAGCCUGGCCAACAUGGGGAAACCUCAUCUCCACUAAAAAUACAAAAAUUAACCGAGCAUGGUGGUGCAUGCCUGUAAUCCCAGAUACUCGGAAGGCUGAGACAGGAGAAUCGCUUGAACCCAGUGAGCCGAGAUCGCUUCACUGCAGUCCAGCCUGGGUGACAGAGCGAGACUCCAUCUCAAAAAAAAAAAAAAAAAAAAAAGGCUGGGUGUGGUGGCUCACGCCUGUAAUCUCAGCACUUUGGGAGACCAAGGCAGGUGGAUCACUUGAGGCCAGGAGUUUGAGACCAGCUUGGCCAACAUGGUGAAACCCCGUCUCUACUAAAAAUACAAAAAAUAGCCGGGCAUGAUGGACUAUGCCUGUAGUCCCAGCUACUCGGGUGGUUGAGGCACAAGAAUUGUUUAAACCCAGGAAGUGGAGGUUGCAGUGAGCCGAAAUUGAGCCACUGCACUCCAGCCUGGGCAACAGAGCGAGACUCUGUCUCAAAAAAAAAAAAAAAAAAAAAAAAUAUAUAUAUAUAUAUAUAUACACACACAAAAUUAUAUAUAUAUGUGUGUGUGUCUAUCUAUCUAUCUAUCUAUCUAUCUAUCUAUCUAUCUAUCUAUAUACAUAUACACAAAAUUAAGCCUACAAAUAUCUCUAAUCCUAGCCCUGGUUUUAGCCCUACCCUUAUCCCUAACCCUAAGACUUAUCCUGCUCAUAACCCUAAACCUAGCCGGAAUCCUAGCCGUAGCCAUCACUUAACCCUAACCUAACUCUAGUCCUAUCCCUAAACCCACCCCUAAAUCAAAUCCUAAUCCUAAAAACAGCCCUAGCUUCAAUCCUAACUCUACCAUAAGCCCUACUCUAGCCCUAAACCUAAUGCUAAAUCUAAGUGAGGUUUGCAAAAUGAACCCGGUGAAGCUGAUACUAAACUUUCCUCUUUUAUUCUGUUGCACUCAGGCCAAAUGAGUCUGGAGGAGUUGGGAAAAAAACGGGGCAGGGAGGGAAAUCUUAGCUUCCUACUGCAGAGGCGACUUUCAGCAUAAAUCGUCGCCUUCCACAAGAAAGCCAACAUGUUUCCAACAAGGAAUCUAAAUGGAAUCUUUCCUGAGUUAAGAGUGCACAGGGCUGUUACCAGCACCCACUCUCACAACAGACACCAGAAUCACAAAUGUCAGGGCUGGAAGAGGCUGUCGGGCAGCCCUUGAGGGGAUGAGAGACUGAGUACCAUGAAGAGCUAGUGACUUGCCUGAGGUCCCUAAAGGAAAUCGAAUUCCAUCCUGCACCUCCUCCAAUAAUACUGGCUUCCAGGCCAGGCGCGGUGGCUCACGCCUGUAAUCCCAGCACUUUGGGAGGCUGAGGCAGGCAGAUCACGAGGUCAGGAGUUCGAGACCAGCCUGGCCAACAUGGUGAAACCUUAUCUCUACUAAAAAUACAAAAAUUAGCCGGGUGUGGUGGCACGUGCCUAUAAUCCCAGCUACUCGGGAGGCUGAGGCAGGAGAAUCACUUGAACCCGGGAGGCGGAAGUUGCAGUGAACUGAGAUCGAGCCACUGCAUUGCAGCCUGAGUAAUAGAAUGAUGACUCUCUCAAAAGAAAAAAAAAAAGCAAAAAACCGGCUUCCAGCAUUUGUCAAAUGGCGUGAUCAGGUCAAAUAUUAGUUCAGGCCAUCUCCAGGGUCUGUUGUUUGUUUGUUUUGAGACAGGGUCUCACACUGUCAUGCAGACUGGAGUGCAGUGGCAUGAUCAUAGCUAACUGUGGCCUCCAACUCCUGGGCUCAAGUGAUCUUCCCACCUCAGUCACCCGAGUAGCUAAGCCUACAGGCAUGCACCACCAUGUCCGGCUAAUUUUAUUUUUUUGUAGGGGUGGGGUCUUGCUAUGUUGCCUAGGCUGAUCUUGAAUUCCUGGGAUCAAGGAAUCCUUCUGCUUUGGUCUCCCAAAGUGCUGGGAUUACAGGUGUGAGCCACUGUGCCUGGCCAAAGGGGUGCAUUUUGUGUGUUUAUUUUUAUUUUUAUUUUUUGAGACAGAGUUUCACUCUGUCGCCCAGUCUGGAGUGCAGUGGCACGAUCUCAGCUCACUACAGCCUCUCCCUCCCGGGUUCAAGCGAUUCUGCCACCUCAGCCUCCAGAAUAGCUGGGACUACAGGUGCCCACCACCACGCCUGGCUAAUUUUUGUAUUUUUAGUAGAGAUGGGGUUUCACCAUGUUGACCGGGCUGUUCUUGAACACCUGAACUCAGGUGAUCAGCCUGCCUCGGCCUUCCAAAGUGCUGGGAUUACAGGUGUGAACCAGUGCGCUCAGCCAGGGGUGCAUUUUUGAGUAGUAAAUGUGGGGAACACGGCUAUAGCACAUAAACCCCAGCAACCAUGCGGCUGCCACCAGGUUUGAGGGGACGCUGGUGGCCCCCUUCCACUGGGCAUCUUGCUCCUUCCACCCUGUAAUGUGAUGUUCCUUGAAGUGUGCUUCAAAUUCCUUAGCUAUAACGUUUUAUUUCAGAAUAAAAAUAAAUAACCAGGUCAGGAAAAGAAAACCGAUGGCAAGCCUUGCUGUGCGAGAGGAAUUUUUUUUGUUUUUGUUUUUUUACAGGUGACAAUUCCCAGUUAAACAUUUUCACACAGUCAAGGAGGGGGACAGCUUGGGCUCACAACAAUGCAGCUAGAAAAUCGGCCGGGCAUGAUGGCUCAUGCCUGUAAUGCCAGCACUUUGGGAGGCCGAGGCAGGCAGAUCACAUGAGGUCAGGAGUUUCAGAUUAGCCUGGCCAACAUGGUGAAAAGUCAUCUCUACUAAAAAUACAAAAAUUGGCCAGGUGUGGUGGUGGGCACCUGUAAUCCCAGCUACUCAGGAGGCUGAGGCAGGAGAAUUGCUUGAACCUGGGAGGUGGAGUGUGCAGUGAGCUGAGAUCACACUACUACACUUCAGCCUGGAAAACAGAGUGACACUCUGUCUCAAAAAUAAAAUAAAAUAAAAUAAUGGACUGGAAAAUCACUCAUGGGCCAAGCAGAUUGCUUGAUGGCUUGCCCAAGAGAUAUUUGAAAAUAUUAAGAGAAAUAGGAAUUAUGGAUCACGAUGGGCCCUUCAAAGAGGAGAAGAACGAUGCAUCGUCAGCUUCUGCAGAAGAUGAAUGACAGAGAAAAGAUAGAUGCGCUUAGGCCGGGCGCCGUGGCUCACGCCUGUAAUCCCACCACUUUGGGAGGCUGAGGUGGGUAGAUCAUGAGGUCAGGAGAUCGAGACCAUCUUGGCUAACAUGGUGAAACCCUGUCUUUACUAAAAUACAAAAAUUAUUAUAUUUUUGUAGAAAUGUGGUGGCAGAUGUCUGUAAUCCCAGCUACUUGGGAGGCUGAAGCAGGGGAAUCACUUGAAUCUGGGAGGUGGAGGUUGCUGUGAGCCAAGAUCACACCACUGCACUCCAGCCUGGCAACAGAGCAAGACUCUGUCUCAAAAAAAAAAAAAAAAAAAAAAGAAUAAAGAAAAAAGAAAAGAUAGUGGCUCACGCCUGUAAUCCCAGCACUUUGGGAGGCCGAGGUGGGCAGAUCACGAGGUCAGGAGAUCGAGACCAUCCUGGCUAACACGGUGAAACCCUGUCUCUACUAAAAAUACAAAAUAUUAGCCGGGUGUGGUGGCGGGCGCCUGUAGUCCCAGCUACUGGGGAGGCUGAGGCAGGAGAAUGGCGUGAACCUGGGAGGCGGAGCUUGCAGUGAUCCGAGAUUGCACCGCUGCACUCCACCCUGGGCAACAGAGUGAAACUCCGCCUAAAAAAAAAAAAAGAUAGAUACGCUGUUUUUUUCUUUUUUUUUCCACACUAGAGUUUUAUACUCUUCUCACAUAGUUUUGUUCUUUUCAGUAAAAGUAAUUCAUUAAAUCUAAACCUAGCUGUGAUGGUUUCUUGUUUCUUUGCAGGAUGUAUUUUGUUUUGCUUGUUAAACAAGUAACUCUACAAAUCGGAAAAUGUGCCUUGUCAGUAUACCCCAGACGAAGUCUCGCUCUGUCGCCCAGGCUGGAGUGCAGUGGCACAAUCUCUGCUCACUGCAAGUUCUGACUCCUGGGUUCACGCCAUUCUCCUGCCUCAGCCUCCCAAGUAGCUGGGACUACAGGCGCCCACCACCAUGCCCAGCUAAUUUUUUGUAUUUUUUUUUUAGUAGAGACGAGGUUUCACUGUGUUAGCCAGGAUGGUCUCGAUCUCCUGACCUUGUGAUCCACCCGCCUCGGCCUCCCAAAGUGCUGGGAUUACAGGCGUGAGCCACUGCGCCGCGCUACAAUGGAUAAAUAAUUUCUUAUUGUACUUUUAAUUUGCAUUUCUUUGAUUACUGUGAGGUUGAACCAUUUAAAAAUAAGCAUUGCCUUUUGUGUGAAUUGUGUUUCUUCUUUUGAGGAACAUUCCUCCUGCAUUCUUUGGCUCCCCUCCCCGCCCCAGACAUACAUUAGACUUUCCAAAGACUUGGAAAUUAACACUUCGUGGGUCAUAUUUACAGCAAUUAUUUACUCUGGUAAUUUCCUUUUCAUUUUAAUUGUACUAUUUUCAGGACUUUUAUGUGUUUUCAAAUGAAGAUCUUCUCAUCUGUGAUUGCUUCAAAGCUUGGAAAAUAAUAAUACCAUCAACGAAGUGAAAAUUACCCAAUUUUAUUUUUUUCUUCUAUUAUAUAUUUGUAUUAAGCUCUUUCAUCAACAUGGAAAAAAAUGACAGUAUUUAUGAUAGUCACACACACACACACGGAAUGUGAGAGGGGGAGGGUAUUUGUGAAAAGACCACAAAUUAGAUUGGGCAAAAUGGCUCAUACCUAUAAUCCUAGCACUUUGGGAGGACGAGGAAGGACGAUUUCUGAAAGCCAGGAGUUUGAGACCAGCUUGGGCAACAUAGUGAGACCUCAUCUCUAUAAAAAAUACAAAAUUAGCUGGACAUGGUGGUGUGUACUUGUAGUCCCAGCUACUUAGGAAGCUGUGGCAGGAGGAUUGCUUGACCUUAGGAGUUCAAGGCUGCAGUGAGCUAUGAUUGCACUGUGUCCAGAAUUGGUGGGUUCUUGGUCUUACUGACUUCAAGAAUGAAGCUGCACACCCUCGAGGUGAGUGUUACAGUUCUUAAAGAUGGUGUGUCCGGCGUUUGUUCCUUCUGAUGUUCAGACGUGGUCAGAGUUUUUUCCUUCUGGUGAGUUCGUGGUCUCACUGGCUUCAGGAGUGAAACUGCAGACCUUCGCCAUGAGUGUUACAGCUCUUAAGGCGGCGCGUCUGGAGUUGUUCAUUCCUCUCGGUGGGUUUGUGGUCUCGCUGGCCUCAGGAGUGGAGCUGCAGACCUUCUAGGUGAGUGUUACAGCUCAUAAAGGCAGUGCAGACCCAAAGAGCGAGCAGCAGCAAGAUUUAUUGCAACGAGUGAAAAAACAAAGCUUCCACAGUGUGGAAGGGGACCCAAGCAGAUUGCUGCUGCUGGCUCCAGCCGCCUGCUUUUAUUCUCUUAUCUGGCCCUCCAAGUCCCCAAGAGAUUAGCUAGACACAGAACACUGGUGCAUUUACAAACCUUGAGCUAGACACAGAGUGCUGAUUGGUGUUAUUUACAAUCCUUUAGCUAGAUAUAUAGGUUCUCCAAGUCCCCACCAGAUUAGCCAGAUACAGAGUGCUAAUUGGUGCAUCCACAAACCCCGAGCUAGACACAGAGCACUGAUUGGUGCAUUUACAAUCCUUUAGCUAGACAUAAAGGUUCUCCAAGUCCCCACCUGACUCAGGAGCCCAGCUGGCUUCCCCUAGUGGAUCACAGGCCAGGGCCGUGGGAGGAGCUGCCCGCUAGUCCUGUGGUGCGCGCCUGCACUCCUCAGCCCUUCGGCGGUCGAUGGGACCGGGUGCAGGGGGCGGCGCCCGUCGAAGAGUCUGGGGCUGCCGAGGAGCCCACCGCGGGGGACUCUGGCAUGGCGGGCUGCAGGUAGUGAGCCCUGCCCGGCCGGGAGGCGGCUGAGGCCCCGCGAGAAUUCCAGCCUGGCGCGGGCGGGCCGGCGGUACUGGGGGACCCGGCGCCCCCUCCGCAGCUGCUGGCCCAGGUGCUAAGCCCCUCACUGCCUGGGGCCAGCGGCGCCUGCUGGCCGCUUUGAGUGCGGAGCCCGCCGAGCCCACGCCCACCCGGAACUCGCGCUGGCCCGCGAGCUCCGCGCGCAGCCCGGUUCCCGCCCGCGCUUCUCCCUCCACACCUCCCUGCAAGCAGAGGGAGCCGGCUCCAGCCUCGGCCAGCCCAGAGAGGGGCUCUCACGGUGCAGCGGUGGGCCGAAGGGCUCCUCAAGCGUGGCCAGAGCGGACGCCGCGGUCGAGGAGGCACAGCGAGCGAGGGCCGCCAGCACGUUGUCACCGUUCAGCGCCACUGUACUCCAGCCCAGCCCCCAGCAUCCAUCUAACCAGAAAGAAAACAUGUGAGAUGUCUGAAAUAACAGAGAUUCAAAGGCAUUGGCUUCGACGGCUUGAGCAUUUACCAGGACUACCAUCUGCAACAUUUUUUGUUUUUUUUUUUUUUGCCAUAUACAUUGAGUGGAAAAAAAAUUAGAGGAAAGAGAAAGAAAUGGUCACAGCUAGGGGAGGGCAGGAGUUCUGGUGUGAGGGGAAGGGACUGGGCAGGGCAGGAGGGUGACAUAGCCAGAGCCCAGCCUCCUGUCCUGUCCUGCAUUCUCCCCCACGGCAGAGGGGACCAUGGAGGGUGCUCAGGUCAGGAAAUGGAUCUGUCACUUCUCAAACUAUAGAUGACGCCAAUGACUGACAUAAUGAAGGAGUGUGAGAUUUCCCUUCAGCUCAAGGCUUGGAGUUUGCUGCCCUGGCCAUCCUUGUGCAGAGACAUGGGGUCUCCAGAACUUUUUGUUUUCUUCUUUUUUUUUUGAGACAGAGCCUCACUCUGUCACCCAGGCUAGAGCGCAGUGGUGUGACCUCAGCUCACUGCAACAUCUGCCUCCCUGGUUCAAGCGAUUCUCCUGCCUCAGCCUCUCAUGUAGCUGGGACAACAGGCGCACGCCACCAUGCCCAGCUAAUUUUCGUAUUUUUUUUUAGUACAGAUGGGGUUUCACCAUGUUGGCCAGGAUGGUCUCUAUCUCUUGACCUCGUGAUCCGCCUUGGCCUCCCAAAGUGCUGGGAUUACAGGCAUGAGCCAUGGUGCCUGGCCUUGUUUUUGUUUUUGAGACACAGUCUCACUCUGUCGUCCAGGCUGGAGUGCAGUGGUGCAAUCUCGGCUCACUGCAACCUCCGCCUCCUGGGCUCAAGAGAUUCUCCUGCCUCAGCCUCCUGAGUAGCUGGGAUUAUAGGUGCCUGCCACCACGCCCAGCUAAUUUUUGUGUAUUUUAGCAGAGAUGGGGUUUCUCCAUGUUGUCCAGGCUGGUCUCGAACUCCUACGAUCUCCAGAACUUUUAUUUUAUUUUAUUUAUUUUUUUCGAGACGGAGUCUUGCCCCGUCGCCCAGGCUGGAGUGCAGUGGCGCCAUCUCGGCUCACUGCAACCUUCGCCUCCUGGGUUCAAGCAAUUCUCCUGCCUCAGCCUCCCAAGUAGCUGGGAUUACAGGGUCAAGCAACCACGCCUGGCUAAUUUUUGUAUUUUUAGUAGAGAUGGGGUUUCACCAUGUUGGCCAGGCUGGUCUUGAACUCCUGACCUCAAGUGAUUCACCCACCUCAGCCUCCCAAAGUGCUAGGAUUAUAGGUGUGAGCCACCACGCCCGGCCAUCCAGAGCUUUUAAAUUCUCCUGAAGGACUUAGGACCGAUCCUUUCCUCCCCACCAGGGUCCUGCUUCUCUUUUUCUCUUCCUCCCUUUCUCUUGCUUUGUUAAUUCUUCUUCACUCCCUUGGUCCAUGGCCACUCCCAGUUCCAUCAAGCCCAGAUGGGACCCCAUGGGGUCAAGAGGGUGUUGCCCUGGGAUGCUGACCUCAUGCUCUGAGCAGUCUCCCCAGGUAUCCUGAUCCCAUGGGGGGAAGCUGCUGACAGAUGGUUCUGAUGUGAACAGCACCUCCAGGCUACUGGACCUUAUAACCAAGGUUCAGAGCUCAGAGCACAUGUGCUGGUACCAGAGAGUCUCAGGGGUCCUGAGCCAGCAUCCCCCACGCCACAUAAACAAGCAAAGCGGGCCAUCUUGUCCUGCCACUGUGUGGCCCUAAAAAAGAGGGGGUGCCAGAUGCAGUAGCUCAUACCUGUAACUUCAGCACUUUGGGAGGCCGAGGUGGAGGAUCACUUGAGGUCAGGAGUUCCAGACCAGCCUGGCCAACAUGGUGAAACCCCGUCUCUUACUAAAAAAAAAAAAAAAAAAAAAAUAGGUGUGGUGGCAGACGCCUGUAAUCCCAGCUACUCAGGAGGCUGGGGCGGAGAAUCACUUGAACCUGGGAGGCAGAGGUUGCAGUGAGCCAAGAUUGCAUCACUGUACUCCAGCCUGGGUGAGAAGAGCAAAAAAAAAAAAAAAAAUGGAAUUUUCUGGAUAGUGGCAGGAAGCGGCUGGAUCAGGCCAAGUCCCAUGGUAAGUCGCCCCUUCCUUAGAGCUUUCUGUGCCAACCUGACGUUCCUAACCUGGGACACACAAGGGUUAGUAAGCGAGGGUCAGGUGUCCAGUUCUGUCCUGCUUUGAGGGGGAAAAGGCGAGUGCAAGGGUAGACCGGCAUUGCCUUAGUCAGCCCCAGUGUGCGGGGGCCUUUUGCCUUUACUAAGAGCAAACCCAGACCUGGUGCACUGACUCACACCUGUAAUCUCUGCACUUUGAGGGGCUGAGGUGGGAGGAUCACUUGAGGCCAGGAAUUCAAGACCAGAGUGGGGAACACAGCAAGAACCUGUUUCUCAAAAAUCAGCCAGGUCUAGUGGCCUGUGCCUGUGGUUCCAGUUACUCAGAAGGCUGAGGUGAAAGGAUUGCCUGAGGCCAGGAGUUUGAAACGAAUCUGGGCAAUAUAGCAAGACCCCGCUCUACAAUUUUUUUUUUAAAUUAGCUGGAUGCAGUGGCUCACACCUGAAAUCCCAGCAGUUUGAGAUGUGAAGGUGGGAAGAUCUCUUGAGGCUAGGAGUUCAGGCCCAGCCCGGGCAACAUAGCAAGAUUCCAUCUCUACAAAAAUCUUUUUUAAAAAAUUAGCCAGGCACGGUGAUGUGUACCUGUAGUCUCAGUUACUCAGGAGGCUGAGGUGGGAGGAUCAUUUGAGCCCAGGCGUUUGAGGCUGCAGUGGGUCAUGAUUGCACCACUGCACUCCAGCCUGGGCCACAGAGCAAGACCCCAUCUCAAAUAAAUAGAUAAAUAAGUAACACUAAACCCUCAAAGCCAAAGAAGCUCUCCUCCUACGUCUCCAUCACUCCCCUCCCCACCUCCAGUUCUGGAGAAAUCAAGACACAAAGGAGGCCGCUCUGGGAAGUGCUAACAUGUAUUUAUUCCACAAGGUGGGAGAUGGGGUGAGGAGAUGAUCACCAGUAAGAUGUCACCAAAUGAGACACUGCGAAUCCCACACAGGGCAAGGGGGCAGCUACAGGGUUCAGCUCUGGGCAGGGCUUGGCCAGGGACAGUGUGGGGAAAAAGAGAUGGGGACUGGGAGAUGGGACAGCCUCCCAUCGGGGGCACCCCACAGGGCAGGGCUGAGACACAUCCUUCCGGCCAGUGACAUGGGGCCAAACCCACACCCUUCUCAUCCCUCGUCCCCAUCCAGGUGAGUAAUGAAGCAGCAAGCCCAAGGCCACACAGCUAGGUCAGCAUCGUCACACACUCCGGAACACACAGCCAGACACACACACACACACACACCCUGCCACGCACAGCACGCAGGCACACACACGCUUGUGCAUGCACACGCGUUCAUAUAUUAACUCUGAUUUAUAUGUGCACCCUAACCAGAGGGCAAUCGAAAAAAAUACUCUUCAGAGAGGAAACGACUGCCUUCUCCUCUGCCAGCCAGCAGAGCGUGGGGUGAAAUGAGGUGAGCCAAAAGCAUCUUCAAGGGUCCUGGCAGCCUUUGCUUCAGCCCUUAGGUUCUGGAUGGAGGCGCUGCUUCUCCCUGGUGGCAGCCUCUGGGAGUCAGGGCUCCCUGGUCCUUGACCCAGCUUCAUCCUGCGGGGCCCUUGUGGCUGAGAUCCUACUGCAGGCUUAGCCUAUUUCUGUCUCUGGCUUCCUCUAGACACAGGCAGGAGAGCUGGCCCAAGCACACUGAUAAGAGCCUAGUGCCCAGGUGAUUAGGAGAGAAAGCAUCAGCUCCAUCAGGUCAUCUCAGGAGGGGCCAGAAAAGUCCAGAGCUGCAGUGCCCAAAGCUACCCUGGUGGGAAGGGUUAGGGGCAGUAGCUGCCUUGGGGCGUGAACAGGCAGGUGUCAUCUGGGUAGAAGUAACCUCGGAGGAAAUAGUGCCCAGUCCUCACUGCCUCCUUUUAGGGCGGGGAGCUAGGACAUGGCUGAAGCCCCCGCUGCCUCCCACCGUGUUGAUGGCUGGAGUUCAGCAGCUGCUGCUGCAAGAGAUGAGACACAGGAGGGGACCCUGCCAGUCCCAGAUCCUGAUUCUGGGAUGGGAGAUGUGGAGGAGAACUGGACAGUCUUGCUCCUCGGUACCAGCUCCACAUCAGAGGCUGUGGAAGACAGCUCUCAGUUUCCCAGAGGAAGGGUGGGGGGCUUUUCCAGGGUGCAGGAAACUUGUGGGCAGCUGAAUGCCUGAGGGGGGACAGAGUCUUCAUCUGGGGUCCCUGUGCUGCCCUGGAGAAGCCCUGGGGGGCCCGUUGAGCACCUGCCGGCCCCUUGCUGUCUCUCUGCCAGGGCAGCUGGUCCAGAUGUUGGGGGGAGCAGCCAUGUCCUGGGGGCCAGGGUCCAGUGCCCCAGCUCCCUCCCUCUACUUGAUGGAGUUCUUAAUGGUCCACCUCUGACCUGUGCAGCUGCGGAGGAUGAGGUCGAUGCCAGCCAGGCCGCGGUUCUCCACCUCCAGGCAGCGUCCCGUGCCCUUGUUCAUGAUGGCUCCAUUCUGGGAGGGGGCAAAAUCGAGGAGAGAGGAGAGAGAGACAGCGAGAGAUACAGAGAGAGGAAAAAGAAAAAGAGAGAAGAGAAAGAGAGAAAGAGGCAAAGAGAAGACAGAAAGGAGAGAGAAAAAGAGGGAAGAGAGGAGAAAGAAGAUAGAGACAGAAGAGAGACAGGAGAGAGAAUGAGACAGACAAAGAGAAGACAAAGGGAGGAGGGGUAGAAAAAGAGGGAAGAGAGAGAAGAUAGGAGAGAGAGAAAGAGAAAGGGGAGAGAGAGAAAAGAAGAGAGGAACAGAGAGAAGACAGAGGAGAGACAAGACAGAGAAGAGAAAGAGAGAAAGGGAGAGAGAGGCAGAGAGAGGGAGACGGAGAGGGAGAGAGAGGGAGAGAGAGAGAGUGCAAUAGGAGAGAGAAAGAAAGAGAGAGAGAGAGGCUUAACUAUCAUGGCGCCUGGCACAUAGCUUCUUGCAGAGAAUCAAUUCCACCAAAAUUCUUUGCAUGAGACUGGGGCAGGGAAGCAUGAGGACCUCCUCUGGGGACUCUGAAGUCAGAACCUAAAUAAGCUUCACCCAGUUGGAGUAUCUGAAUCAGGUGAGGAGCAUUGGUGGGGGAUGGGGUCAGGAUGGGGUCAGGAUGUUGAGUUUCCUGGGAUAUUCUUGGUCUGAUAGUCUCAACCCCACUGGCUGUGGGUACUUAGUGGAUUUCAAGGAAGUCCCCCCUCACUCCUAUCUCAGGAUUGAUCAGAGCUCAACUAGCCUAGCACUGACGUAGGAAUCAGAAAUGCUACUCCAUGCAGAAACUCCACAGCUGCCCCCAGGAAGUGCUUUGGGUCCACAAGCCCAGCCCGGGGCAGGGAGACCUGGGUUCAGGGUCGCUUUUUGCUGGGGACCCCUGGGGAAGCAGGAUUCCCCUCUGUGGUCUGCAGCCUCUUGCAGCUACUCUGGGUGCUGGCUCUGUCCAUACAGCACUCACCUGGAUGAAGUUCCAGCGCUUGUACAGGCUGCUCUUGACCUUGUCGCAGUCCAGGAGCUGGGGCAGCCGACUCUUGGAGUUGUCCACCAGGCAGCGGGUGUCAGGGAGGAGUGUGGUGGUCCCCAGGGCACCCAAGUGCAGGAAGCCUUCCUUGGUGUAGCGGGCAAGCUGUCGAGAGACCAGAGCAGCAAGGGAAUGGAAGUGGGAGGCAGGAGUGAGACAUGGGAGGAAGCAGGGCUCAGGUCUCUCGGCUUUACUCCUGCUGUUUGUCAAUACUGCAGUCCUGGCCACCAUCCCAGCCUGUCACUCAGGCCAUAUGCUCACCUCACAGGACAGCCCUGUUUCAGAAAGCCACCCAGGUUUCUGAGCCUGGAUACAGAGUCCCCAGGGCAAUUCUCUGAUCUUUUUUCCUUUUUUCUUUGAGAUGGAUUCUCACUCUGUUGCCCUGUCUGGAGUGCAAUGGCAUGAUCUCAGCUCACUGCAACCUCCGCUUCCCAGGUUCAAGCAAUUCUCCUGCCUCAGCCUCCUGAGUACAUGGAAUUACAGGUGCGCACCACCACACUCGGCUAAUUUUUGUAUUUUUAGUAGAGAUGGAGUUUCACCCUGUUGGUCAGGCUGGUCUCGAACUCCUGACCUCGUGAUCUGCCCACCUCGGCUUCUCAAAGUGCUGGGAUUACAGGCAUAAGCCACCGCGCCCGGCCCUGAUCUUUUAUCUAAGCAUAUCCUCAGUCAAUGUUUUAGGACCUAGUCUUCUGUUCAGCAACGUCGGGGAGAAGGAAUAGAUGAAGAAGCUGGAUGUCUAAUUUCUAAAUGGCUCUACUUUCAGCUGGCUGGGCCACCUUGAACAAGUAACCUGAGUCUCCAUUUCCUCCCCACUUACAAAGGGGGAUUGACUAAAUCUACCCUGCUGCAAAAGGCUCAAAGAAGCCAUUCACUGAAGAAGAAACAGACAUUAAACAGUACUCAGUACUCAACCUCAUAGAUAUGAAAAGAAACAAAAAUCUAAAAUAAUGAGAUACCACAUUUUACAAAAGAGAUUAGGCCAGGCUCAGUGGCUCAUGCCCGUGAUCCCAGCACUUUGGGAGGCUGAGGCAGGCAGAUCACUUGAAGCCAGGAGUUUGAGACCAGCCUGACCAACAUGGCCAAACUCCGUCUCUUCUAAAACUACAAAAAUCAGCUCGGUGUGGUGGUGAGCAACUAUAAUCCAAGCUAUUCAGGAGGCUGAGGCAGGAGAAUUGCUUGAACCUGGGGGUGUGGAGGUUGCAGUGAGCAAAGAUCGUGCCACUGCACUCCAGCCUGGGCAACAGAGUGAGGCUCUGUCUCAAAAAACAAACAAAAACCAAAAAAAAAAAAAAAAAAAACCCAAAAA